GACGAACGCUGGCGGCGUGCUUAACACAUGCAAGUCGAACGGAAAGGCCCUGCUUUUGUGGGGUGCUCGAGUGGCGAACGGGUGAGUAACAAGUGAGUAACCUGCCCUUGACUUUGGGAUAACUUCAGGAAACUGGGGCUAAUACCGGAUAGGAGCUCCUGCUGCAUGGUGGGGGUUGGAAAGUUUCGGCGGUUGGGGAUGGGCUCGCGGCUUAUCAGCUUGUUGGUGGGGUAGUGGCUUACCAAGGCUUGGACGGGUAGCCGGCCUGAGAGGGUGACCGGCCACAUGGGGACAGAGAUACGGCCCAGACUCCUACGGGAGGCAGCAGUGGGAAUAUUGCACAAUGGGCGGAAGCCUGAUGCAGCAACGCCGCGUGCGGGAUGACGGCCUUCGGGUGGUAAACCGCUUUCGCCUGUGACGAAGCGUGAGUGACGGUAAUGGGUAAAGAAGCACCGGCUAACUACGUG
rnacentral:rRNA from 1 species